rnacentral:snRNA from 10 species
CAGUGUUACAGUUCUUAGUCUAGCAGGCUUUCUGGUUUUUGCCAGAAAGCCCCA